UGAUGCUCCUUGCAGUAGCUGUGCCAAGGUAAUACCUUUUUGUUUUGGUUCUUCUGCUAGUGGGCUUAGCAUGGGAACAUGGAUUACUAUUUUCUUUAUGAAAUUAGUUAUAUCAUCUAAUUUUAUGUUGAAUCUGUAUUUUAUCUUUCUUAUAUUAGUGUUGCACAAUUUUUCUUUUAAUAAUCUUUCACUUGGUUUAUAUAUGUUUGGUAAAUACAUCAGUCUACCAUGCCUUCUCUUGUUUUUAUCCUAAACUUCUCCCCAAUCCCACACCCCUCUUUGUUGAGCAUCUUUCCUUAACAAUGUUAUAGAAAAAAAAAAGAAAAAAAAGAAGAAGAAGAAGAAGAAGAAGAAAGAAGAGUUUGUGGAUAAAGGGACAUUUUCACUGGUUUUUCCUUAAUUUUGUUCGGCUGCAAUGAGAAAUUUGAAAGAUAAGUGGUUGUAGGCAUGUAGCCGGUUUAGCCAUCAUGAGAAAAAAAAAAAAUUGGACUAUAGCUUUUAUCAUUUAAUUUUUGGAAUUGAGAAUAAAGUAUUUCUGAAACCCAGCACCUCACACCUUGGCUAGUUACCAUAUGAAGUAUAGGCUGAAUGUGUGGUAUAUAUGAAAGGAAGUGAAUGUACUGGUAUAUAUGAAUUUUAGGCUGUUGUUGAAGUGUUCAGAAAAGACACUUCUAUUCCCCUCACGUAUCAAACUAAAGAUGCAGCUUUAACAAGAAUUUGCUGUCAUCUAUAUAAAUUGACUACAAUGGUUAAACCUCAAGGUUUCAUUGAAUUUAUUGAGAUGAAAAUUAUCUUGAGUUUAGUGUACAUGGUUCAUGUAGGGGGCAAAUGCUUUGUACAAGCCAAAA
rnacentral:misc_RNA from 1 species